rnacentral:tRNA from 1 species
GCCAGUGUAGCUCAGGGGUAGAGCAGUUCUCUCGUAAAGAACAGGUCGGUGGUUCAAAUCCACUCACUGGCUCAA